GAUCCUGGCUCAGAAUCAACGCUGGCGGCGUGCCUAACACAUGCAAGUMGCACGAGAAAGGGRAGCAAUCCAUGAGUAAAGUGGCGMMCGGGUGAGUAACACGUGACUAACCUACCUUCGAGUGGGGAAUAACAUAGGGAAACCURRGCUAAUACCGCAUAACAUCUMAAGRUCAAAGSAGCAAUGCGCUUGAAGAGGRGKUCGCGGCUGAUUAGUUAGUUGGCGGGGUAAUGGCCCACCAAGGCGAUGAUCGGUAUCCGGCCUGAGAGGGCGCACGGACACACUGGAACUGAAACACGGUCCARACUCCUACRGGAGGCAGCAG
rnacentral:rRNA from 1 species